AAUAGGGAUGUACUACCCCAUGGAACAAGAAUCUGCAAGAGGUAAAUUAAAACAAAUGUCCAUCCCACUUUACUGUAUAAAAACAACUCCCCUUCAGUUCUUCCUUGUCCCGUUUCUUGACGUACGAAAGGCACAGAACAAAUUAAGAAUGGUGAGGCACAUGGGUUGUUGCCAAGGAGAUUCGUCCCAUUAACUGCUUGGUUGGAGAGCUGAGUGGCCCGACUCUAACCUAUUGAGGUAACACAGCGAAAUUGAUAUGACUCCUUUGAAGCGGAGUGUUGGUCCCGGCAUGCAGGAAGAGGUGGUUCCGAAUGGAACACCCAUCAGAUGUCAGGCCUUGCGUCUGCACACAGUAGUGGAACACACAACUGGAGGCCUUGUAUUCCACAAAAGUUCUGAUCAUCCACUGCGCAGUUCCAAAAUGGAACUUCAACAUUUUGGCGCAAAU